GUGGUUCAUCGCAGACAUCGAGAAUGCCUUUGAGCUCCUUGUCAGCAGCCUCCCUAAAUGCAGCAUUCACUUCCUCAGCAAAUGUCUUCUUGGUGACUUGAACGACAAGGUCCACGACAGAGACGUUAGGGGUUGGCACACGGAGGGCAAUGCCGUUGAGCUUCCCCUUAAGGCUUGGGAGGACAAGGGCCACGGCCUUAGCAGCACCAGUUGAGGUUGGAACUAUGUUGAGGGCUGCAGCUCGUGCACGUCUAAGGUCCCUGUGGCUCGCAUCAAGAAGCCUUUGGUCACCAGUGUAAGAGUGAGUAGUUGUCAUGGUUCCCUUGAUAAUGCCUAUGCAAGAAAAAAUAUUAGUUUAUGAAUUUAAGUUAUAUGCACUGACAGUAAAAGACAGUAAUGCUCGUGUAUAACUAGAUAAAGGUGUAUUACCGAAUUUUUGGUCAAGAACCUUGACAAAAGGAGCAAGGCAGUUGGUGGUGCAAGAGGCAUUGCUGAUGAUUGGUUCAUCAGGGUUGUAGAGAUCAGCAUUGACACCAACAACAUAUGUGGGGAUGUCACCUUUUCCGGGAGCGGUGAUGAGCACCUUCUUGGCUCCGGCCUGGAUGUGUUUUCCGGCACCUUCUCUGUCGACAAACACUCCGGUACCUUCUAUUACCAAGUCAAUCCCAAGAUCUCUGAACACAUUACACAAACAUUUUGAACAUUAGUAGCUGUUAGAGGUUGAAGGGGAGCCUUGGCGUAACUGGUAAGUUGUUGCCAUGUAACCAGGAGGUCACGGGUUCAAGCCGUGGAAACAAUAUCUUGCAGAAAGGGUAAGGCUGCGUACAAUAGACCCUUGUGGUCCGGUCCCUCCCCGGACCCCGCGCAUAGCGGGAGCUUAGUGCAACGGACUGCCCUUUAGUAGCUGUUAGAGGUUGACCAGAUAUCACAAGCUAGUAUUAUACUAGACAGUACAUGAGCUAAGUUAAGCAUGUUAUCAUGAUUCAUUUCUAGCUACUCACUGUUGGACAAUGUUAAAACUUAGAACUACUGUUUCAUAUUUUUGUUUUUUGUUCUCAGCAUAAUGACAAUCACUUGCAAUGCUCGUCCAAGUUGUGCUUGGACCACACAUAUUGCAUUAAUCACACUAAGAACAAAUGGAUUGCUAUUUUGUGAUAAUUCAAAUUUUUGUACAUUGAAAGUAUAAUGAAUCUUUUACACUAUCCAUACUUAGAAACCAAUUAUAGAUGACAACAAAUAGUAAGGUAAAUUUUUUUAACUCGAGAAAAGAGGAUAACUAACUUACUAUAGCCGGUUAAGUUACCGUUAAGAUAUAAAUUUCCUUACAAUAUAUAUAUAUAUGAAUGUAUAUAACUUAAAUCCUUUCAUUACAUGUUAGUAUGAAAGAACUUACCCCCAGGGGAGGUUGACGGGGUUGCGGUUGGAGACGACUUGGAUGACUUUUCCGUCGACGGAGAUGCCGUCAGUGCCGACAGGCUUGACGUCAGCAUCAAAGAUGCCAAGGGUGGAGUCAUAUUUGAGAAGGUGAGAGGCUUGCUUGACACCACCAGUGUCAUUGAUGGCAAUGACAUCAAGGGG
rnacentral:lncRNA from 1 species